UACAGAGGGCCCGAGCGUUGUUCGGAUUUAUUGGGCGUAAAGGGUGCGUAGGCGGCGGAGUAAGUUGGGUGUGAAAUCCCGAGGCUCAACCUCGGAAUGGCAUUCAAUACUGCUUCGCUCGAGUACUGGAGAGGAGGCUGGAAUUUACGGUGUAGCAGUGAAAUGCGUAGAUAUCGUAAGGAAGGCCGGUGGCGAAAGCGAGCCUCUGGACAGUUACUGACGCUGAUGCACGAAGGCCAGGGGAGCAAACGGG
rnacentral:rRNA from 1 species